UAAGCGGAGGAAAAGAAACUAACAAGGAUUCCCCUAGUAGCGGCGAGCGAAGCGGGAAGAGCUCAAAUUUAUAAUCUGGCACCUUCGGUGUCCGAGUUGUAAUCUCUAGAAGUGUUUUUCGCGUUGGACCGCACACAAGUCUGUUGGAAUACAGCGGCAUAGUGGUGAAACCCCCGUAUAUGGUGCGGACGCCCAGCGCUUUGUGAUACACUUUCAAUGAGUCGAGUUGUUUGGGAAUGCAGCUCAAAUUGGGUGGUAAAUUCCAUCUAAAGCUAAAUAUUGGCGAGAGACCGAUAGCGAACAAGUACCGUGAGGGAAAGAUGAAAAGCACUUUGGAAAGAGAGUUAACAGUACGUGAAAUUGUUGGAAGGGAAACGCUUGAAGUCAGACUUGCUUGCCGGAGCUUGCUUCGGUUUGCAGGCCAGCAUCAGUUUUCCGGGGUGGAUAAUGACGGUUUGAAGGUAGCAGUCUCGGCUGUGUUAUAGCUUUCCGUUGGAUACGCCCUGGGGGACUGAGGAACGCAGCGUGCUUUUUGCGAAAGACUCGUCUUUUUCACGCUUAGGAUGCUGGUGGAAUGGCUUUAAACGACCCGUCUUGAAACACG
rnacentral:rRNA from 1 species